CAGAGUGGGUGGCUGCCGAAGGGGCAGAGUGCUGGGCUGCAGUCCCCCGGCAUCCCCACGCCUGAGAAGGGUGUCAUGCAGAAAGAUCUGGGAUUUGUUUAGAUGGUAAUUACGGUCGUUGCAAGGAAUUUCUUCUGGGGCUCUUUGGAGUGUGUGCUUGCCCUGUGCUGAUGCCGGCGCUCCGGCGGUGCAUAGCUCGGCCACCAGUGUUUGUGUAAACCAAACACAAGAAGCACAUGAAAAGAGAAGAAAUGAAUUUGCCAGUGACAGCAGGCUCUGACGGAUGCUUUGGAGCACAUGCCCAAACCUUAUCCCUGGUAACGUGGGCUUGGAAGGCUCAAGACCUCUGAGAGUGCUCCAGAAUCCCCCAAGAUGACGCAGGACCAAAAAUUUCAAGUGCAACAUCCCAAGGAAACAGCUGCUACUGAAGCUGCAAGGCAGGACUGGAGCUGGAGAACAGCCAGGAGCUCCCUGUGAGGAUGCUACCCAGAGAUCCCUGAGGUGCCUCUGCCAGAGGCAGCCCAGUCACUCAACUCACCAGCAGUGGAAACUGAACCUAAAGAUGUGUUGUGUGGAGGAAGUGGCACUGCAGCCUGUUUGAAGAUGAAGAGACAUGGCCAUGAAUGCCACCAGGCUCUGACAGCUGGGGUCCAAGCAAGGCAGGAUAUGAAACCAGGCAGAAAUGGCUCUCUGGGCAGUGAUACAAGGGAAAGCAAAAUGCAGGUGAGGCAGUGUUAUCGACAUAUGAAGUUAUUUGGUGCAGGAUACUGUUAAAUUAUAUGCAGAGCCCCCACCUUUUCCUCCCCACCCCAAGAACAGGAAUAGAGUAAUUAAAACAGCGUGUUCUGGGACAGCAGCAAUCCCAUGGGAGAGCUGGACAUGGUGAGAAGUACACCCACCACUGUGGCCUGACCCGGUACCCCUCCCUCCUUCCUCAGGGCUCCCCAGGUCUGCCAGAAAGUUUUCUGAGGAAGAUGAUCCCAGCAUCUGGUGCAUGUAGCAGAACAGGAUCUUGUGCUGGUCAGACUGGUUUGGUGACCCCAGCUCAAAGAGGACAGCAGUGCAGGGGGGCUGCAGUUGCGUGUCCAUCCACCAACAUCACCCUGAGGACAGGGCCUCUGUGUCACCUACAGCACAUGGUGAUGCUCCAACCUGGCAGUCUGCACACUUGCAAAGGCCCAGUGCCUCCCUGGGGUGGGAUCCCCCUGCCUGGGGAGACACCAGCCCCUUCCCUGCCUGCAUGGUGGGGCUGACAGCACCUGCUAUGGACCCUAUAGGAUGAGCUGCUUACUUGAGCACUGCCAAGAUGUGCUUGUCAGGCAGCCAGUGCUCAGGAAACGAGGAAGGAGAGUGUGAAAGGAACGAGUCACUGCACCAGGAACAUAUGGGAUGGCAAUCUGCAGGGAAGGACACAGCCCCCACGCUCCUUGAAGAGUGAGCAGAGACCCUCCAAGUUCUGGCACAGCAGUGAACUAGCACUGGAAACUGCCUUGAACAGCAUCGCUUUCCUCUGGCUCCAGGGACAGCAAGAGAGGAGAGAGAAGGCAAAGGAGCCCAAAUGGAUGAGAAGUAUUGUUCUACAUGAGCAGAAAGACAACCACAACUGGAGAGGUCUUCUAAGCCAUAUUAGUGGCCAUUUUAAACUUCUUACCAGCAGACACUUUCUUCCUAAGACAGGUUAGUUUUCAAACAAUGACAAAAGCUGUUACACCAACACAGCCCUGAACAAUGUUGUGCCUUUGUCAUCCAAUGGAGGCAGAACCUGCGUAUUCCCUGAGGACAGCACUCUGAUGCCUUCUCUUCCCCAUCCAUUGUCACAGAGUUGCUAUGAUGAGUAAACUCAAAGCCUGGAAGCUCAGUUCAAGUGAAAUGUGAAUCCAAAAGUUCAGAAAACCUUUUCCCAAAGCCUGGCCAGGAAACUAGGAUGGAUAUCUCAAAAGAACAGACUUUCCCAAGAGAUAUCCAAUAGUUCCUGGAUUUGGACUCAUGUUGUUACCUCUCUUAUCAAGCAGGACAUGCAUACUCAUGACAGAUGAGAGGGCUAGCCUUUUACACCUGCUAGAGACAUUAAUUUCAAGAGUAACAAGUGCUAGUGAUUGCAUUUUAAGAUUACAACAGGUCAUUAGUGUUUACAACAGAACACAGAAAACAUGAACUUGAAUUGCUGUGUCGUGGUCUCUCUCACACUUUGGAAGUAAAAUGGUUUGGCUGUACCCGA